UGUAUUAAAGGGGGCCCAGCAAUGCAU
rnacentral:piRNA from 1 species